CUUUUUUUGAUGCAUCUAUCUAAGUACAUACAGAGAAAAUUUGAAUUCUGUACAUGUAUAUGCCAGAAGUUUUAACAUAGCUUUUAACUGAGCUUUUUCUUACGACAUUAAAUGUUACUCAAAAAUGUUGCUAAUUUCUGCACAACAAUCCAUUAUGUGAAUGUGUCUUAAUUUACUGGAUCUUUUUUUCUGUUGUUGGAUAUUUGAGCUUCCUCUUUUCCAGCUUUUUAAAAACUUAAUAACUGUUAUCAAUCACGCUGAUAGAGAUACCAAGCUAGAUUUCUCGAUUUGAGAUAACAGGGCCAGUGGAACAAAAGAAAAGAAAGCUCUUGGUUCUGAAUUCCUGUUCAGGAAGUUUUUUUAAAAAAAUUUUGAAAAACGAUUGACCUUUAUUGAGGUGUGAUUGCCGUACAAAAAGCUGUAUUAAUGUGUACCGCGUAGUGAGUUUGGCAAUAAGUAUACAGCUUUAAAACCAUCACCUCAGGAAAUUUUAAUCAAUUUGUAGUUUCACCAGCUGCUCUAGAUCUUUUAUUCAUCUGUCUCUUUUUCAGCUUUUGAAGAGAUAACCAAUUUCAGGAGUGAAAAAGUGAUUGGAUUCCCUGAUUUUGGAAAGAAGCUAAGGCAUGAGUAAUUCAAGCUUAGCUCAGCUCCCAUUCCAGUGACCAUGAGGGACAAAGAUGGCUGUAAGUUUCACUGUUUCUUGCAGUGUUGUGACUUUCUUCUCGUUUCAUCUUUUAAUUUGGUCUGUUUCCUUGUGCGUACUAUCAAUAAAGCAUGUCUGCCUCUCAGAAAAUGUGGUGUGCUGCAGGGACAAGGAGCAGGAGGAGAGAGAGAAAUCAUCAUUCCGUUCCUCAUUGACCUCAGAAUGCUGGAUCUCCUGCUGCAGAGCCACACAGCGCCUGUUGCUUCUCCCUUGCAGUACUUUUUAUGAUGAUAAACCAUCAAUGAUUUGUAUAUUUGUUUAAUGUUUCUCUUCCUCAACAGGAUGUAAAUUUCAUGAGGCAGGUGGCCCUAAUGAUCUCCUUUGCUAUUUCAGUAAACAUCUGUGGAGUGAAUUAUGAUUAGAAUGAGAACUCAGGAUGGAAAAAGAUGUGGCUUCUCUAAUGGGGCUUUCAGAGGGAGGGACAAGGAGGUAUGGUGAAUGUUUGCCCUGAGAGCCUGAGGUGAUGCUGGAAGACUGAACCCUGAGGGACCUGCCCUGGGGCUCCAGUCUCCCCUCUUCACAGGCUUGGGACAGUCAGUCAAAGUGCCUUAUGUGAAAUGUGGUGAGUGGCUCUGAGGAGAAGAACCUCAUUCUCUCACGUCCUCUUCCUCGAGCCUCUCUAUCCUCCAUCUCCUUUCCCUCUCAUGCCCUUCUUUCUCCUCUCCUCCUCUUUCUUUCUAGCCUGAUGUCUCCUACUCAUGUGGAGCUCUUUCCUUCCCUAAUCCACCCCCUCCAGCAGGUGGCCUGAUUAACACUCCACGAACACACCUGCUAAAGAACACUGCCUACCACAGCAGGAGCUCUGCCUAGAAAGGAAACUGCUGAUGGAUUAUGUCAGGACAUGUGAGCUCAGAUCCAUUUUCCAGGGCUUAGUCUAGUGACAACCUCUUUAUUUUUGUUUGUUUAUUUUUUGGCUGAACUGCGUGGCAUGCAGGGUCUUAACCACUGGUCCAACAGGCAAAUCCUAACUUUCUUGUUUUUGGAGAUAGUGUCAUCUGUCUCUUACCACCUAGGUUUGAUUGCUUUCCUCCAUCUGUCUAAACCUCUGUAGAAGGUAUGGACAGAUGGACAUCAAUGUCCAGGGGGAUCCUCUAGAAAUGGGAGGGAAGCUGAGGGUCUCGUUCACAAGGAUUCCUUUUAGAGAGAUGGAAGGUGCAAAAUGUAUUCCAGAAGGACUCUGAAAU
ensembl:lncRNA